CCGUGCUAGGCGGGGAGCUAGCGGUUCCCUGUAACCCGCAACCCGCUACAGCGGGGCUGAACUCCCGUCCGAGGCCUCACCCUUGAGGGCCAGGCCCGCGCACGCGGCAAGGAGGGCCGGGUCCCGCGCAACGAGAUCUUACCAACCCCGCCAGGUCCGGAAGGAAGCAACGGUACGUAAGGCGUCUCGUGUGCCGCGGGGUCACCUGGUCGGAGCCGGCGACGCGGGGACCGCCUCGAGGGUGUUGUCGACGGCGGGUGCACGG
rnacentral:SRP_RNA from 1 species